UGUGAUAUUUCACUUAAUCCUAGCACCUAGGUGAUGUAACACUUCUCUUUUGUCUGGACACUUGCAUAUUUUUGGUAGUGUAACAUAUCACUUGGCCCAACACCUAGAAUAUAGGAGGUUUCUGCCAGGGCCCUGCCUACAGGGGGGCCUGUGACAUAUUUCUCCUGGCUGUGGAACCCAGUACCUAAGAAAUGUACCUCUUCUGCCUGCAGUUUGCCAAUAAGAAAUGUUAUGAUAUAUUGAUGGGUCCAGCAACCAUGUGAUAUAUCUCUCCUGCUUUGGCCUCAUCAACAGAGAGCAUUGUGACAUACCCGCGAGCCAAGCACACAGAUGAUGUUAUUCUGCUGCCUGUGCCCUGCUUUCAGGAGUGGAUUGCAAUGUAACACUGGCUGAGUACCCAGGUUAAUGACACUGUUGCCUGGUCCCUGUUCUCAGGGAAGACUGUAAUAGACCCCUGACCCAAUAUCCAGGGGACAUUGUGACAUACUUCUUGGCCAUGAACCCAGGUUAUGUGAGCCUUUCUGUGCCCUGCCCAUGUGGACAAUUGUGACAUAUUACCGAGUCCUACACCCAGGCGAUGCUACUCUCCUGUCUGGUCCUUGCCUACAGGGAACAUUGUGACAUAUCUCUUUGCCAUUCAUCCAGGUUCUGCCCACAGGGAAGAUUGUGGUGAAUUACUGAACGCGAUACCUAGAUGAAGGAGAGACUAUAACAUACCUCUUGGCCCAGCACCUAGUUGAUGUAACUCUGCUCUCCUGCCUGGGCCACACCUACAGAAGAAAGAGUGACUUCUCACUGGGCCAGCACACAGGUCAUGUUAUUUUACUGCCUUGAUCCUUGUCCACAAUAAUCAUUGUACAUAGUUUUGGGCUCUUCUACUAGAAGACGUGCGGGAUGGUUAAAUAUCACUGGACCUAGCACCUAGGGAAUGUGACUCUUGUCUUUUGCAUCAGCCCCACUCGUUUUGAGAACUGUAACAUAUCACUGGGCCAAACACCUAGAAGAUGGGAAGUGUCUGCCUAUGCCCUGCAAACAGGGCUUUAGCCCUACCACUCUCAAGAGCCUCGUGACAUAUCUCUGCAUUCAUCAUCUAGGAGAUGUGACUCCUCCCUGCUGCCUGCGCUCUGCCUACAGGGAAGACCAUAACAACAUUUGGCCCAGCAACACGGUGAUGUGUUUUUUCCCAGGGCCUUGCUCACAGGGAGCAUUGUGACAUAUCACUGGAACCAGCAUCCAGGGCUGUGACUCUGUGUCCUGCUGUUAGAACAGGAUUGUAACAUAUCACUGACCAAGCACCCAGGUGAUGUGACUCUUCUGCCUGGUGCCUGCCUUCAGGGAAAAUUGUGACAUAUGCCUGGCCUAGCACCAAAGUGAUGUGGCUCUCCUGCUACCUCUAUGCACAGAUGGGUUGGUGAUGCUCAGACAAAUAUUCAGCACACCUGUGAGUCUGCGACUCCAGUAAUCAUCCACAGUCUGCAGGAGAAAUUGAGGCUCUCACCAACAAAUCAAGUGCACAAUUGAGAUUGCGACUCUUGUACUCAGACCCAACAUACAGAAUGUGUUGACUCUCAAUUUUAAAACCAGAACAUGUGUGAGAUUAUUAAUCUGAUCUCUAAACCAUCCUGCAAGUGUGAUUGUGACACAAGUCUCUGUUCAGUACUUGAGUGAUUUGACUCCUUUGCCUGGGCCCAGUCCAAAGAUGUAAUUGUGACAUAUCACUGAAACCAGCAUAUAGGAGAUGUGUCUCCAUACUCCUGCCUUGGUGCUGCCCACAGUGGGCACUGUGACAUAUCACUGGGCCUUGUAUCCAAGUGAUGUAAGUCUCUUCUUUCUUGAUACUGACCACAGGAGACACUAUGACAUAUCCCUGGGCCUCAAGCUCAGCUUAUGUCAUUCUCCUAUUUGUUCUCUGUCCACAUGGGCCAUUGUGACAUACUGCUGAGUUUGGCAUCCAUGUGAUAUAACACUUCAGCCUCAGCUUUGCUCACUUGGGGCAUUGUGAUGUAUCUCUGCACCCAUCACUUAGAUGAUUCAACUCUUUUCUUCUGUCUCAUCUGUGCUUAAAACGGGCAAUUGUUACCUAUUGCUGGGUCCAGCAUGUAGCUGAUGUGUCUCUUCUCAUCUUCCUAAGGACUGCCUGCAGGGGAUAUGGUGACAUUUUACUUUGCCCAGCACCAAGAUGACUUGAAUCUGCUGCCUUUGUUCUACUUUCAGAAGACAUUGUGACAUAUCGCUGGGCCUAGCACCAAGGUGAUGUGAAUCUUCUGCCUGGACCUGCUCACAGAGGGAAUUGUUACAUAUUUUUGACUUCAUCAACUAUUUGAUGUGACUCUCCUCUCUAACCUGGGCCUUGCCCAUAAAAAACAUUGUGGCUUAUCUCUGGGCCCAAAACCUAGGUGAUGUGACUGUCUUCUUAGGGUCAUGCCCACAGUAGAGAGAUGCCUUAUUGCUAAACCCAGCACACAGGUGAGGUGAUUCUUCUGUCUGGUCCCUGCCCACAGGGGUCAUGAUGACAUCUCUCUAAGCCCAUCACCUAGAUUAUGUGAGUUCUCUUUUUCUUCUGUUAGCUAUAUAGAAGAUUGUGACAUAUUGCUUGGCCCAGACCUCAUGUGAUGUGAAUCUCCUCUCAUGCCUUGGUCCUGUUUUUUUUUGGCCGUUGUUGUUUUGUUUUGUUUUUUGAGAUGGAGUCUUGCUCUGUUGCCUAAGCUGGA
rnacentral:lncRNA from 1 species